GCCGGAGUGGCGGAACUGGCAGACGCAUGCGACUCAAAAUCGCACGCCCGUAAGGGUUUGAGGGUUCGAGUCCCUCCUCCGGUACCC
rnacentral:tRNA from 1 species